rnacentral:lncRNA from 1 species
UAGGAUCACAAGUUUGGUUUCAUGCUUCUGAUAACCAAUAUUAAUUAACAUAGUGCUAGAGUUUAGAGUCUAAGCUCGAUAAGAAACAUAAUUUAGAAUCUUAACAUAGAAGUCUCCAGUUAGAGAAACAAAAGAUAAUAAGAGCUAGUGCAACAGCGGAAGACAAAAUACGGAGUUGAACCCUAGCCUCAGCUCUGCCCCG